AACGAACGCUGGCGGCAGGCCUAACACAUGCAAGUCGAGCGGACCCUUCGGGGUUAGCGGCGGGCGGGUGAGUAACGCGUGGGAAUAUGCCCUUCUCUACGGAAUAGUCCUGGGAAACUGGGGGUAAUACCGUAUACGCCCUUUGGGGGAAAGAUUUAUCGGGGAAGGAUUAGCCCGCGUUGGAUUAGGUAGUUGGUGGGGUAAUGGCCUACCAAGCCGACGAUCCAUAGCUGGUUUGAGAGGAUGAUCAGCCACACUGGGACUGAGACACGGCCCAGACUCCUACGGGAGGCAGCAGUGGGGAAUCUUAGACAAUGGGGGCAACCCUGAUCUAGCCAUGCCGCGUGAGUGAUGAAGGCCUUAGGGUUGUAAAGCUCUUUCAGCUGGGAAGAUAAUGACGGUACCAGCAGAAGAAGCCCCGGCUAACUCCGUG
rnacentral:rRNA from 1 species